AAUAGAUACCCCGGUAGUCCACCCCGUAAACGUUGGAACUAGUUGUGGGGUCCAUUCCACGGAUUCCGUGACGCAGCUAACGCAUUAAGUUCCCCGCCUGGGGAGUACGGCCGCAAGGCUAAAACUCAAAGGAAUUGACGGGGACCCGCACAAGCGGCGGAGCAUGCGGAUUAAUUCGAUGCAACGCGAAGAACCUUACCAAGGCUUGACAUAUACGAGAACGCUGCAGAAAUGUAGAACUCUUUGGACACUCGUAAACAGGUGGUGCAUGGUUGUCGUCAGCUCGUGUCGUGAGAUGUUGGGUUAAGUCCCGCAACGAGCGCAACCCUCGUUCUAUGUUGCCAGCACGUAAUGGUGGGAACUCAUGGGAUACUGGCCGGGGUCAACUCGGAGGAAGGUGGGGAUGACGUCAAAUCAUCAUGCCCCUUAUGUCUUGGGCUUCACGCAUGCUACAAUGGCCGGUACAAAGGGCUGCAAUACCGUAAGGUGGAGCGAAUCCCAAAAAGCCGGUCCCAGUUCGGAUUGAGGUCUGCAACUCGA
rnacentral:rRNA from 1 species